rnacentral:Y_RNA from 1 species
GGCUGGUCCGACGGUAGUGGGUUAUCAGAACUUAUUAACUAUUAGUGUCACUAAAGUUGGUAUUCAACCCCCCACUGCUAAAUUUGACUGGCUAAAA